rnacentral:rRNA from 1 species
UCAAGCGCGUAAGAGCAUUUGGUGGAUGCCUUGGCAUAAAGAGGCGAUGAAGGACGUGACAGACUGCGAUAAGCUCGGACUUGCUGUCAAUAAGCUUAAUCCGAGAUCUCCGAAUGGGGAAACCCAAUAACUUAUAAGUGAAUUCAUAGCUUAUAAGGGCGAACCUAGGGAACUGAAACAUCUAAGUACCUAGAGGAAAAGAUAUUCCGUUAGUAGUGGCGAGCGAAAGCGGAUCAGGCCAGUGCUACUUUUUACUAAACCAGAACUGUAUGGAAAGGCAGGCCAUAGUGAGUGAUAGCCUCGUAUGGGUAGAUAGUAAAAAAUAGACAUGAGUAGGGCGGGACACGUGAAAUCCUGUCUGAAUAUAGGAAGACCACUUCCUAAGCCUAAAUACUACUUUAUGACCGAUAGUGAACCAGUACCGUGAGGGAAAGGCGAAAAGAACCCCGAGCAGGGGAGUGAAAUAGACCCUGAAACCGGAUGCUUACAAGCAGUUGGAGCCUCUUUAUGAGGUGACAGCGUACCUUUUGUAUAAUGGGUCAGCGACUUAAUCUCAUUAGCAAGCUUAAGCCACAUAGGUGUAGGCGAAGCGAAAGCGAGUCUGAAUAGGGCGAUUUAGUUAAUGGGAUUAGACUCGAAACCGAGUGAUCUAGUCAUGAGCAGGUUGAAAGUGAAGUAAAAUUCACCGGAGGACCGAACCCACUAGCGUUGAAAAGCUACGGGAUGACUUGUGAUUAGGGGUGAAAGGCCAACCAAACUCGGAAAUAGCUAGUUCUCCGCGAAAACUAUUUAGGUAGUGCGUCGUGUGAAUCUUGUCGGGGGUAGAGCACUGAAUGGGCUAGGGGGAAGCAAUUCCUACCAAACCUAAUCAAACUCCGAAUACCGAUAAGUCUGCACGGCAGACAGUCCAUGGGUGCUAAGGUCCUUGGACGAGAGGGAAACAGCCCAGAUCAACAGCUAAGGUCCCCAAAUAAUGAUUAAGUGUGAAAGGGAGUGGGAACUCCAAGACAGCCAGGAGGUUGGCUUAGAAGCAGCCAUCCUUUAAAGAAAGCGUAACAGCUCACUGGUCUAAUUAAGAGAUCCUGCACCGAAAAUGUAACGGGGCUCAAAUCAUUUACCGAAGCUUUGACAAUUACUUUGUAAUUGGGUAGCGGAGCGUUCUGUAAGCCUGUAAAGGUGAUGCGUAAGCAUUGCUGGAGGUAUCAGAAGUGCGAAUGCUGACAUGAGUAACGAUAAGAAAUGUGAAAGACAUUUCCGCCGAAAUCCUAAGGUUUCCUGCGUAAAGCUAAUCUGCGCAGGGUUAGUCGGCCCCUAAGGCGAGGGCGAAAGCCGUAGUCGAUGGGAAGCAGGUUAAUAUUCCUGCACCAGCUGGUAGUGACGGAUGAAGUAAAUUGUAAGUUCUUACUGGAUUGAGCUUGCAGUGAAUUUGUCCCUGGAAAUAGCUCCAGCAUUAGACCGUACCAAAACCGACACAGGUAGGAGGGUAGAGAAUACCAAGGCGCUUGAGAGAACUAUGUUGAAGGAACUCGGCAAAUUACACUUGUAACUUCGGGAUAAAAGUGACCUGCUAUUGGGCAACCAGUAGGAGGUGGCACAGAAGAGGGGGUAGCGACUGUUUACUAAAAACAUAGCACUAUGCAAAGUCGAAAGACGACGUAUAUGGUGUGACGCCUGCCCGGUGCCGGAAGGUUAAUAGGAGGGGUGCAAGCCCUGAAUUGAAGCCCCGGUGAACGGCGGCCGUAACUAUAACGGUCCUAAGGUAGCGAAAUUCCUUGUCGGGUAAGUUCCGACCUGCACGAAUGGCGUAACGAUUUCCCCACUGUCUCCAACAUAGACUCAGUGAAAUUGAAUUCUCGGUUAAGAUGCCGAGUAACCGUGGUUAGACGGAAAGACCCCGUGCACCUUUACUGCAGCUUUGUAUUGGUAUUAGGGAACAGAUGUGUAGCAUAGGUGGGAGACUUUGAAGGAGUGGCGCUAGCCAUUCUGGAGUCACUAGUGAAAUACCACUCUUCUGUUCCUUGAUGCCUAACCAUACACCGU